rnacentral:sRNA from 1 species
AUUAGUAUGAUGAUAUUCGGUAUUUUUUAGACGUUAGACUUCUGAUUUUUAAGUGAAGACGUCCACCGAUUCUACUGACCGUUUC